rnacentral:rRNA from 1 species
GUGUCAGCAGCCGCGGUAAUACGUAGGGAGCAAGCGUUGUUCGGAUUUACUGGGCGUAAAGGGCGCGUAGGCGGCGCGGUAAGUCACUUGUGAAAUCUCUGAGCUUAACUCAGAACGGCCAAGUGAUACUGCAGUGCUAGAGUGUAGAAGGGGCAAUCGGAAUUCUUGGUGUAGCGGUGAAAUGCGUAGAUAUCAAGAGGAACACCUGAGGUGAAGACGGGUUGCUGGUCUAACACUGACGCUGAGGCGCGAAAGCCAGGGGAGCAAACGGGAUUAGAUACCCCGGUAGUCCUGGCCCUAAACGAUGAAUACUUGGUGUCCGGGGUUUCAAGACCCUGGGUGCCGUCGCUAACGUUUUAAGUAUUCCGCCUGGGGAGUACGCUCGCAAGAGUGAA